rnacentral:tRNA from 1 species
AAUAAAAUAAGCUAAAUUUAAGCUACUGGGUUCAUACCCCAUUUAUGAUAUUUUCUUUUAUUA